CACACCCACUCUUUACUUAUUAAAAUGAUUUCUUUAGUCUUUAAUUAGUGAACCAUGGGACCCGCCUUAUUUCUUUAUACUUCUAUCGUGGUUUCCAAUCUCUCUCCCCCUCUAAUAUCUGAAAUCAACUAUCUCUCUCUAACUCUCAGGAACUCACACUAUCUCUAAGCUCCGAGAGCUUCUCUCUAGCUUUCACCUCACUCCCCUUACAAAUCAAACCCCAAAAACCAUAUAUUUGGAAUCCUUGAGACCUAACGAACUCAAUGGUACCCUUGCAUGCGCCAUCUGAGCACCGUGGGCUUUUCUGCCAUUGAAGCCGAGAGCUUCAAAGCUCUAACACGCGAACCCAGCUCCGACGACGAACUCUGACGAGUUCGAGGUCCAUCUCUUCCCAAAACCUGCUGCAGUGCGUCCAGGUGAAGUUGCUAGUGGAGACUUCCUUAAUCUUUUUCCACACAAUUCUGCUGCUUCGGAGUAUCUGACUUAGGAUGAAGGCACAUAACCCCGGCAUCAAGGUACUUCCGCAGCGGCAUCUUCGAGUCCUCUCGGGGUAGGACUCACUCAUUUGUUCAUUCAAUCUUAUCUUAGUUCUUGUUAGUGACUAGGUUUAGUUAUAUGCUCUGAACACGUUCCUAAAUUGUUAAUUCAUUGUUUUUAAAUUCAUAACCUGUAUUUAUUUCUUAUUCUUAGCUUUUGUAUCAAUUAAUGGCUUUCGUCACCCCCGGGUGUCGGCCAGC